ensembl:misc_RNA
GGUGAGGUUGAAGAAACCCUGGACACUCUUAUUUAUCCACAGAAUAGGUACAACAGAGGCAACUCCAGUUUAGGCUUCCCCAUCUUGCCCUUCCAAUGUAUUGUAACCAUGCUGUGGAGAGGAGAAAAGGGAAUUUAGUCCUUUCGUCCAUUACAUUCUUAGCCUCU